GCCAUGUCCUGUGAGCAUCACAAGGAGAGGACCCUCUGCCAUGUCCUGUGAGCAUCACAAGGAGACCCUCUGCCAUGUCCUGUGAGCAUCACAAGGAGAAGACCCUCGGCCAUGUCCUGUGAGCAUCACAAGGAGACCCUCUGCCAUGUCCUGUGAGCAUCACAAGGAGAAGACCCUCGGCCAUGUCCUGUGAGCAUCACAAGGAGACCCUCUGCCAUGUCCUGUGAGCAUCACAAGGAGAAGACCCUCUGCCAUGUCCUGUGAGCAUCACAAGGAGACCCUCUGCCAUGUCCUGUGAGCAUCACAAGGAGAGGACCCUCUGCCAUGUCCUGUGAGCAUCACAAGGAGACCCUCUGCCAUGUCCUGUGAGCAUCACAAGGAGAGGACCCUCUGCCAUGUCCUGUGAGCAUCACAAGGAGAGGACCCUCUGCCAUGUCCUGUGAGCAUCACAAGGAGAGGACCCUCUGCCAUGGCCUGUGAGCAUCAUGAGGAGACCCUCUGCCAUGUCCUGUGAGCAUCACAUGGAGAAGACCCUCUGCCAUGUCCUGUGAGCAUCACGAGAGGACCCUCUGCCAUGGCCUGCGAGCAUCAUGAGGAGAAAGCCCUCUGCCAUCAGGUUUCUGGCGUGUGUGACGAGAACACGUGAGGUCUACUCUGAGUGACGUCGACAGACAGGACAGUCCCGUUACCUGUGGCCACCGUGCUGCAUGUGAGGUCCCCCAAGUUCUCCUCACAGGGCAUGAAGCCUCCACUUUCUUGCUCAAGCCUGCUUUCCAGCUUCAUCUCGUCCCAGCCCCGCCAUGCUCUUACUCUGUCUAGGAUUCCCAUUCUCCUGAUCGGGCUCGCUCUUCAUUAAGCAUUAAGAUUCAAUGCAGGCACUGCCUCCUCUGCCUUCCUGAACAGCUCUCUCUCCUCUCCUGCCACCCUGAUGCACAUGUGCCUCCCUCCGUGCCCACUACCUCCAGGCUCACACUGGGCUGAUAAUUGUCUGUCCCCCACCAGUUACAGGGACUGUGUAUCAUUCCUCCUGUACUUCUGCUGUCCCCACAAAUGCUGGGACAUGGUGACCAGGUGACCAGAUAAUUUGCUAUCCAUACUGGACAUCAAAGGCAGUGUCAAUGUUGACCACUUUGAGAAGGAAAGACAGGAAAGAGGCCGCUGUUGUAAUGAUGCUGGAAUAAAGGGCGCAAAUCCGCGAUGCAUGGCUGCCCCACGUGAUCAGCCAAAGAUGGUUCUAACACCAGCACCAGAUGGCAUCGCUCUGGGCCUCAGAUUCACCAUCUGCGGCGCAGAAACAACGCCUGCUUUCCUAACUCACAGUUUGGGGUGAAAGUCGGGUUCUGCACAGCGCACUCGGUCAUUGACGUUCAUUCCUGGAGCCUGGAGCGGGCCUGGCUCACACGGCACGCUCUAAGUCUGCUGAAUCGAGCUGAACUAACCAGCCGCUCUGGUCUGCUGACCCAAGGUUGGCUCCACGUUUCCCUGCAAUCGUACGCUUGCCUGGUCCACGAGAAAAGGUAGAGCUACCAGACCUUGAAAGAACCAGGCCCAAGCUCUCCCAUGGCCCACCCCACCUGUUCAUGCUACACAUUUUGUGUCCUCUCCUGCUGCCUCCCAAAUUUCCCAGGAGGUUCCAGCAGUCAUUAAAGAGAAGAAAAGUCAUCAAUGUGACAGCUCUGCAGACGUCACUGCUCCGAGCUGGGUGUCCUGAGCGUCAGUGGCCCCAGGGGCUCGGCCUGGCCACCUCAGACACUCGGAUGGAGUAAAGAAUAUGAACAGACCCACAGCCCGGCUCAGCUGGAAAGUCACAGAGAAAAAACUAGAGCUUUAGUGGAACAACUCCGAAAUCCUCAGUUUGUUACCUUUCCUGUCCUGUGAAGUCCCUGCCCCUCAGAGACAAGGCUCUUUUCCAGAGUCUAGCACCGCAAGUGCUAAUUUUCUGUCACAUCUCUGAUCUUCUCAGUUUGUCCCAGAAUGUCCAUUUCACAGCAGAACCCACAGUGCAGCUCCUUCAGGUGACUUUCUGCAGAGCCUGCUACUCCAGACUCCAGAACUUUCCACUCUUCCUUGGCCUCCCAGGAAGCCCACGGUCUCCCCUUCUUCGUACCCCCGAGCACAGCAAAUGCUAUGGGAAAACUUACAUUACAGAACCAGAGGCAUGGCUAUUUAUAAUCUGAGGAGCACACUAAUUUUGAAAAGCUGCCAUCCCCAAAACAUACCUUUCAGACACGCUAAUUUUAAAAAUAAUCACAAUUUGUCAAAUUCUCUCAGCUACUAUUUGGCACCUACUUUCUGACGAACUGCUGUGGAAGAAAUAGCUGGAUACCAGAAAUAGCCGCAGUCCCCAGAUUCCUCCAGCUCUUGCAGCUGUACCAUGCUACAUUAAAAUAAAUUAAGUAUUCUAAAGGAAA